UCCGGUUGAUCCUGCCGGAGGUUACUGCUAUCGGUGUUUGACUAAGCCAUGCGAGUCAAAUGUUCUUCGUGAACAUGGCGUAAUGCUCAGUAACACGUGGAUAACCUGCCCUCAGGUCCGGCAUAACCUCGGGAAACUGAGGAUAAUUCCGGAUAUCUCUUCUCUGCUGGAAUCGCUUGAAGAGACAAAGAAUUUCGCCUGAGGAUGGGUCUGCGGCCUAUCAGGUUGUAGGGGGUGUAAUGUACCCUCUAGCCGACAACGGGUACGGGUUGUGAGAGCAAGAGCCCGGAGAUGGAUUCUGAGACAUGAAUCCAGGCCCUACGGGGCGCAGCAGGCGCGAAAACUUUACAAUGCAGGAAACUGUGAUAAGGAGACACCGAGUGCUCGCAUCAAAUGCGGGCUGUCCGCAUACCUAAAUCGUAUGCGUUAGCAAGGGCCGGGCAAGACCGGUGCCAGCCGCCGCGGUAAUACCGGUGGCCCGAGUGGUAGCCGCUUUUAUUGGGUCUAAAGGGUCCGUAGCCUGUUCGGUCAGUCCAUUGGGAAAUCCGGAUGCUCAACAUCCGGGCUUCCAGUGGAUACUGCCGGACUUGGGAUCGGGGGAGGUAAGGGGUACUACAGGGGUAGGAGUGAAAUCUUGUAAUCCUUGUGGGACCACCUGUGGCGAAGGCGCCUUACCAAAACGAGUCCGACGGUGAGGGACGAAAGCUGGGGGCACGAACCGGAUUAGAUACCCGGGUAGUCCCAGCCGUAAACGAUGCUCGCUAGGUGUCAGGCAUGGCGUGACUGUGUCUGGUGCCGAAGGGAAGCCGUGAAGCGAGCCACCUGGGAAGUACGGCCGCAAGGCUGAAACUUAAAGGAAUUGGCGGGGGAGCACAACAACGGGUGGAGCCUGCGGUUUAAUUGGACUCAACGCCGGAAAACUCACCAGGGGAGACAGCAAUAUGUAGGUCAAGCUGAAGACUUUACCUGAAUCGCUGAGAGGAGGUGCAUGGUCGUCGCCAGUUCGUACUGUGAAGCAUCCUGUUAAGUCAGGCAACGAGCGAGACCCGUGCCCACAGUUACCAGCGGCAUCUCCGGAUGGCCGGGUACUCUGUGGGGACCGCCGGUGUUAAAUCGGAGGAAGGUGCGGGCUACGGUAGAUCAGUAUGCCCCGAAUCUCUUGGGCUACACGCGGGCUACAAUGGACGGGACAAUGGGCAACUACCCCGAAAGGGGAUGUCAAUCUCAUAAACCCGUUCGAAGUUCGGAUCGAGGAUUGAAACCCAUCCUCGUGAAGCUGGAAUCCGUAGUAAUCGCGUUUCAACAUAGCGCGGUGAAUACGUCCCUGCUCCUUGCACACACCGCCCGUCAAACCACCCGAGUGGGGUAUGGGUGAGGGUAUGGACAUCGUGCCGUAUUCAAACCUGAAUUCUGCAAGGGGGGUUAAGUCGUAACAAGGUAGCCGUAGGGGAAUCUGCGGCUG
rnacentral:rRNA from 1 species